GCUAUGGUUCAAAAAACCCAAAACAAUCAUUCUGUGUGUUACUUUCUCUCUGAAACAAAAAUCAUACACAUUUGUAUUUGCAUAAAACUCCAAAUUGUAUUCAAGAAAUACAAAUCUCACCAUACUUUAUUUGUCUAAACCCUAAUCAAACGAUUGCUCAUCGUCUUCUUCUUUCUUUUAAAUUCUACUAACAAGAUUACAGGUAUGUGUUAGGUAUUUGAUGUUUAUUUAUGUCUUCUGCUUUGUGAAUCGAAUAUAUUAAUGUUAUUUUUUGAUUUUGUUUUGUAUUAUGUAAACCUUAACCAACCGAUUAUCAUCUUCUUGAUUCGACUAACAAGAAAGAUCACAGGUAUGUGCUUCUUGUUUGAUGUUUAUGUAUUAUCCUGAAUAAUCUAACGUUUAUCGCUUAAUAAACCAUAUUAUUUUGAUUUUUUAUCAAUAGAAUUCUAAUCCUCUACUCUAUGUUCUGGAUUGCUUUUCACUUUCUUUUCGAAUUCUAAUCCAAAUUGAUGGAAUUUUAUCAUAAUUGAAUUAUUGGCAACGGAUUAUUUAUCUAAUUGUUAAUAAUGGAGGAAAAGUGAGAGAAUGUUAACUGAAAUUUAAAAAAAAAAAAAGUAAAAGAUUAUAUGUGGAUUAAUAGAUAACUUUCUUUAAGAAAGUUAUAGGGGUUGAAUGGUUUUAUCAUAUGGAUGUUGCCACUGUUUUGUUUGGUUGGUGAUUGCAUUUGGUUUUAGAAGGUAGCUAUGCAGCCAAGCAGGUGGGUUGGUAUUACAUAUGCAUAACACAUUUGUUGAGUAUAUCAUAUAGGCGAGGAGGAGUUUCAAGCUUUGAGGGGUCUCGUGAGGCUGCACGGAGCGAUGAGAGUCCAAACGCAGAUUCAGCCAUGAAGAAUACAAAUGUUGAAAAACCAAGCACUUAGACAUGACUUUGACUUUUUCACAUAGGUCCUUCAUUUGUAGUGAUUAGAUCAGUAGCUCAGAUUCUACUUAAUGGGGAACACACAUUUAGGUUACACGGUAUGCAGACGGGAUGAAGACGGGGGACGGAGCUCGACGGGGGUGGGCGGCAUGGGGUGACGGAACGUCGAAGAAAGGGGGCCCACCUGGAGGAUCGUCCUGAACGUCGAAGAAUGGACGUUGAAGACGGGGACGGGGAGGAGGACGCAGGGGGCGGCAUGGUGUUGGCUCCGGCGACGGACCGGGACGGAGGGGGACGACCCCCAUACUCAGGGGCGGAUGUAUGUAGUAACAAGGGGUAGCUUCCGCUACCGCUUGGUCGGAAAUUUUUUGACGUUUUUACUGUAAAUUUUGGAAAAAUUUGACCUUUUUUCGAUUUCGUUACCGCCUAUUUAUAAAACGUUACCGCUUGGUCGGAAUCCUAGAUCCGCCACUGCAUACCGUCCAGCCUUAAAAGAUACCCGGUGGUGACCGGUCAGAGUUUUUUGAAUCCGAAGCAUCAUAUAUGGGCAGACAAAAUGUUGAAGGCUCAAAGUUUAAAAAUCAAAGAUUUAGGCUCAUUUGAAUUGAGAAGAAAAACAUCAUAUACACAUGAUCAAAGUAAUGAAUGUCUUUUAUUGUAUUUAAAAUCUUUAUAUAGUAUAUAUAUAUAUAUGCUUAAUUGAUGAUAUAUUAUAUGUACUUUUCACGUAACCCUUCUCAAAUUGGGAUGAGUUCGCUACUUUACAAUUACGUUUGUACAACUGGUACGUAGUUAUAUAUUUACAUAUACUAAACAACCUUCACAUCAUGUAUGAUUUUGUCUAUGUAGCUUCUAAUCAAUUGUUUACUUGCUAUUUGCUAACAAAUAAUAUGUUAUUAUUUCAUCCUUACAUGUUUAGAUAUGUUCAUUUAAUUUGUCAUACAAAAUCAUCAAAAUUUCACUAAAUACUUUUUCCUGGAGCUUAGACACUUGAACAUUUACCAUACUAAAAAAUUGAUCGUAUUUUGUUUACACCAAAAAUGGUAAUAAUAGUUGGUGCUCGUCUGCUAAUGUAAAUGGUUACCAGGUAUCUUUUAAAGCGUUUUCUUUUUUUCUUUUUACAAAAUUGAAAUGGUCCAACCCGUGAGGUUCACGGAUGAUAACCUAGUAAUAUAUAUACACAUAUCACACAUGUUAACACUUAAGGGAGUGAGCUAAACGCUCAAUUUACUGAAGUAAGAUUUCGGUAAAACGUAAUUGAUACAUAGACAUUUCAGUUAGUAUUUUAUGUCAAUACAUAAAUUGUUUGUUUUGUUAAAUAAAUGUAUUGUUUAG
rnacentral:lncRNA from 1 species